rnacentral:lncRNA from 1 species
AAAGAUUUGAAAGAGAACACAAAUCAAAUGAUUUCAAAACCUGAAUUUGUAACUUGAAAGCCAUAAUAGGAGAAUUUCAAGAGAAUAUUUAAACUUUAAUAAAUGAUUCGAAAGAGAACAUUUAAACCCCCUAAAAGCAACAGGAUCGCAUCCAGGUUACAGUAUUGAAAUUAGAAUCCACCACUAAUAUUACACAACUUCUCUUACCAAAUCAGAUCAUCUUCGAUAAGAAGAAUCACUGUCAACCUACUCCAGCCAUGUCUUACAUCUGAAUCUUCAUAGCAUAACUCUAGCUAGCACAACCCUUAUCAACUUCCCUGAACACUCCUCGAUCACUGGAUCCUCAACUCUGUCUCCUCGCCUAGCAUUAGCCUUAUUCACCAUCACGGUCUAGCCACUCAUCUUUAAGCCUUUCUGAAAUGGUUAGAAAGGAAUAGCAAGGGUGAGCAACAAUGCUCAGCAAGUAAUAAUAAACAAUGAUAGUUCUGAAAUGAUAUAAUAGAAGUUCACGAGUUCAAGAUAUAAGAGGAUUCAACCUGAGUUCAUGAGUUCAUGGUAUUGUAUAGAAUGAUUUACAAUACCUUGCAGCAUUUAAACUGAGAAAUUCAAUCUUUCCAAAGAAUUAUUGAAUUGGACUAUCACAUUUUAAGUAAAACCAAGGUUAGGCAGCUGAUCAGUUCCGCACUAACCCCGAGCAGGCCCCGCCAUGCUCUAUCACUGGAUCCAAGGCACUCAUUGGCCUAACUUGACCACGAAUCUGGUCCACAGGUUUAUAUAAAAACAAUAAUCCAAUUCUAUAAUUCAAUAACAGGUCAACGUAUAACAACAGAACAUAAACACAAUCAAUAUCAAUGAUAGAAUAAUUCCAAAUCAAACUUUGAUAAUCAACUUUUCAUAAACCAGAGUCCAUCCUUUCAUAAAUCAUAGUUCAGGAAAUCCUUAACUAUUCAGUAUCCUCCAUUAUCGGCUAAGCAACUGAAUUUAGCCUGCUAAACCAGCAUGACAAUGGCGGGUUGAAUAAUCAAGAAGAUCCCAAGUCAUUCUAGGUUCUAACCAUCACUGAGCAACACAUGCUUCAAUGACAAUCUGAACUUCGAAUUAAUUUGUAAAACUGGAAUUAUCUGAAUUUUUGAGGAUUAGAAAAGGAUGGAUAAAAAUAUUUGCACUUUCCAAAUAUGAAAAAGAGAGGAACGAAUAUUUGCAACACAUACGAAAAGAAUGGAUCAGAAUAAUCGCAAGAUAUCCAAAAGAAGGGUAUAGGAUACUUGCCUUAAAUCUGACUCCAGUUUCACAGCUCAUUCUCAUCUUUCAACUUUCACAAUCUAUGCAUCUCGUAAUCUCUAGACCAUCUCUAGCUAUACUCUAUUCGCCACAUCGCUUCGCUUACUCGAUUCAUCCCUUAUUCGCUUUGCAAUACCAUUCCGACUUUCUGACGUCUUCGAGCGUACACGUCUCGUCCAAAUCCUUUACGAGAAUAAGAUAAUACUAUAGUCACUAAACAAUAUAUCGCAUAUACAUAUCACGUAUAUCGAUACCCACUUAUAUAUCCCUUUAAACUUAUCAGAUACCACGUAACACAUAAGCAUGCUUUGACUCUAACAUAUAGUCAAUCAUAUUCCACAUAACAUAUCACCAAUCAAUUAUCAUAUAAAUCCUUAUCGAAAAUCCGACAUCGUCUCGUCUAUGUAUAAGACUAUCCACCUAUUAUCCUAUCUCAAUCAUUAAUCAACCAACAAAAUCCAAUAGCUAUAAUCCAUAUAUUCUUAUCCAAUAUCAAUCAUACGAAUCAUUUAUCACUUCACAAUAUCAAAACUAACACGUACUUCACAUAAUCAUCACUUGAUAGCACUUAGAUCACAUAUUAUCACAUUAUGCAUACUUAUCAACAAUUAUUCACCUUAUAGACUCAGCCAUAUAGUCACAUCAUAUUAAAAUAGACGUUAUAAGCUUCUGUCUCUCUUUCGUUUCACUUGAUUCCGACUUACGGAUCAAAAGUUAUGCUCAAAACAGUUUUCUCACUCUCCUAUCGGCACAUAACACAUCCAACCAAUAGCAGACAACACACAACACAUAAGGUUUCCCAUCCCAAUUGAUAUUAAAUCAAGUCUUGGGUUAAAAAUGAUUUUUCGGGAAUUUUCUGGAAUUUUUAAACAUUUUUCGGAAUUAAAAUCGAUAAAAGAAUCACUUUUCGGAUAAAUAAUCAAGUCCCAAAUACUUGAAAUUGGACUUGAAAUCAUUCAUAAACAAUUAUCGAGCCUUGAAAAUAAUUUGGAAAAAUAUUUUAAAGCUCGAAACUAUUUUUCGGAAUUUUUAAAUCAAAAAGGAUUAAUUAAAUCCAAUUAAUUAAUCAAUUAAAAUCAAUUAAUAAUUAAUUAAAAUAAUUAAUCAAUUAAUAUUUAAAUUAAUUGACUAAUUAAAAUAAUUAAUUACUAAUUAAAAUUAAUUAACAAACUAAUUUAGAUUUAUUUUUGAAUUAAUAAACAAUUAAAAAGCAUUGUUGAAAUUAAAUAAAUGAUUAAAAACAUUUUGAAAAUCACAAGGUUUUAUCUGCAAGAUUUUAAAAGUUUUGCCGCAGGGUGGAAUCUGCAACAUUUUGAAAGUUCAGGGUUCAAUAUGAAAGAAACCAAACUUCGGUGGCUGCACUUCACCACCUCCAAAAGUGCAGGGACGAAACUGCAAUUAUUGCAGUCGCCGCCGUGGCUUCGCCGGAGGUGGCGAUUCCGGCCACCGUUGGCUCCAAAACUCUCCAGAUAAACUCUAUAUGCUACCCAAAACUCGUUCUUGCAAUCAAAAUCAUCAAACAAGGUAGAAAUUGGCCGUAAAAUCUGGCCAAAGUUUUUCGCCGCCGUCGAGCUUUCAAGCUCCGGCGUGCUUUAAAAACGAAACCACCAUACUUUUUGAGACCACCAAAUGAUUCCUCAUCUCCUAUUCUAUCUGUUUUCACCCUCCAGACAUCCCCAGAUUCAACCGUUUGCAAAGCCCCAAAAUCGAAUUGAAUAUAUUCAAGAACACCUCAAGAACAUUCAUAAACGCAGUUAAAGAAUCAAACCCAGUUUUCUAUAUGAUGCCGACCUCAAAACUCAACAUAUGAUAUACCAAAUCGACGAGAAAAACACGUACUACAACAUGGACUCAUCAAAACAAUCAAACAAUCACGUUUAUAAAAAUUCACUAUUUAAAUCUUGAUAAUUCGAAUUUUAGAAAAAUAAUCUAAAAUCACCUGUUGAAUCUGCAUAUAAACGGAUGAUUAAACUUGAUUCUACGCGUCGAUAGCUUCGUUUUGACUAUUCAUACACCUCCAUCGGAUUCCAAUAACACCUCCAAAUCCUCGUUUGAUUACGAAGAACACGAAGAACACAGUUCGGUUUCUCUCGGUAUUCGUGAGAAGAAACUGGUGAAAUGAUUUUACGGGUGAAAAUAAGCUCUAGAAAGGUCUAUUUAUAUUUACAAAUAAUUGGUACCCCUUUGGAUCGUUUAUGACAUGAAAAUACGUAUUUAAUAGCUUUAUAUUAAUAAAGCGGGGUCCAAUCGGUACUGGUUUUCGAGAUAAUCAUCAAAACGGGGCUUUUUAACUCAAUUAUUGGUCUGCGGGUCCCAUUGCAAUUAUUACAAGAUAAGGAUGAAUAUAAUAAUCAAAAUAUCUUGUUUCACGUUUAUCGAGACAAACUGGAUAAUUAUCAACAAUUAAAAUACCCGAAAAACUCCGCCGGACCGACUCCGGGGAAAACCGUACUCCGGAUCGAAAAAGUCAAAACACGAAAAGUGUCCGGAAUAUUCAAAUUAGGCUAAAGGUGAGUUUUGUUGAAACUUCCGGGAAGAAAAUUUGCUACCUCGUUACGAGUGGACGGUUUUACGGAAGUCAAAUAAUUAAUAAAUAAAUAUAAAUAUACGCAAUUAAAUCCGUAAAUCGAUUAUAAAAUCAUCUAACAUUCCAUAAAUCGAUAUGAAAAUAUCCAAAUAAACUAUAUUUUCUCCUGAGCAUAUAGAAAUUGAAAUCUCUCAAAUACGAACACAUAUGAGCAGUUAACGCAAUAAACCAGAUAAUAUAAAAUUCACAAAAAUUCAUAUAUUAAUCAUAUAAUACUCAUAAUUAACCAUAAUUAAUUAACCAACAAAUCCACCAAUACCACUUACUCACAUCACACAUAUAUUCACAUAAUAAUCAUCUAGAAUUUUCGAAACAAUAUAUGAAAAUCAGUUUUAAAAAUAUAAUCAUUUAUCAAUAACACAAUAACCCGGGGUUUAAUAUAAAAUUUUGAAAACUCCUUAAACUGGAAUAAAAUAUUAAAUCUUAUUCCUUUCUUUUUAAGAAAAUCAUUUAUAAUAUUAAUAAAAAUAUUUUUAAAAUCCGGGUUAUUACAAUCUACCCUCCUUAUAGGGAUUCCGUCCUCGGAAUCAGAGAAAGAAGGAGGACGCAUAAUCUGUAAAAUCCAUAUUAAUCCACAUAACAAGUAUAAUCACAUACAACUAUUCACAUAAUCAUAUCAAUAUUCAACUAGAGCCAACAAUAAUAUCUAGACAAAUAGAUUUAUAAUAAUCACAUCUAAAUUUAAUAAUAUGGGAUAUUACAUUCUACCCCCCUUAUAAGGAUUCUGUCCUCAGAAUCCGCGAUGAGAACUAAAACGUAUCAUUUAUAAGAUUCCAUUAUACGCUUCGUCAUAACGUAUCAUCAUACACCUUUGAUCGAUCUUGGCAUACCUUUGUCUUUAAAAAUAUCAGAGAAUCACACUUUUACAAUUGCAAAAUUCAUUUCCCAAGAAUCAAUCUUUUGGAAUUUUGAAUAGAACAAAAUGUUUUCAAGGUAGAUCACAUUUGAAUAAAGGAGUGAUUGAGAGAUCUAUAUGAUCAACGAACUUGGUGUUGCGUGUCCACAUUAGACACUACUAAAGGUUGUUAACCUUCUUGUAAUCACAACACACACAAGUGAUGGCGUCCCAUCCAACUCCUAUCACACAGACAGGUAUACCUUGUGUCCCCUAUAAAUAGGGUUGUUCAUCCCAAUCAAAUUGAAGAAAUGUUAAGGAAUAUCAGAGAAUAUCAAGGAAUAUCAACAAUAUCAAAGAACACUAAGGGAUAUCAAGGUAGAUGAAAGGGUAUCAAGGAAUGUCAAGAAAUGUCAAACAAUAUCAAGGAACAUCACUAUCUCUUCACAACAAACCUUUAUCACACAUCUUUGCUUUCCAACUCAUACCAAUAAUCAAUAUCAAUGUCAUCUUAGAAUUUGAGAAAUUGAAGAUCUCAUUUAUCAAAACUUUUGUAGAAAAGAUAUCAUGAUAAUAUCUCACUGAUGAGAAAACAAUCAAAAGAAUCUUUAGUUGAAGAGAGGUAUUGCCAAGGUCUUCUCAGAUUCCGACUCUACUUCAAUAAAUCAUUGUACGAUAUAUGUCUUCUUUUCAACGUUCUUGAUGAUCAAUCGAUUUGACUCGUAAUAGCCUCAUAAGAUGUCAUCGUAGACGUUAUCGUUCGUAAUAACUCUCGCCCAUGUAGUGCACGUUCUCAUGCUUCAUCCAGUUGCCUUUGAAGUCCAUAACACAACACGUAGCAUCUCUUCGAUUUUCUGAAUCGUCGCCCUGUGGGUUAUGGGCCCACCUUGUCCCGCUUACUUAAAGCGUCGUCGUCGAGGACUAACGUUCUAACUUACUCGUAGACAUCAUCUCUAAUAACUGGACUCAAUUCCACGUACUCUCUAUCAUUCACUUCUCACCUAUCAACCAAUCUCUCCUUCUAAUCCAAUACAACUCAUACUCUACACUUACUCUUCAUAUCUUCACUCAAAACAAUAUACAUCUUCCAAAUAUCUGACAUGGUCAACAUACUAUGAACCAUGCAUUUAUAUCAUCCUCAAAUCAAUAUGAUAAUCCAGUUUCAAAUAUGCAGUAUAGUCAGAAUACUCUGAACUCUGCAUCUUUACCAAUCUCAACUUAAACAUUCAUUAUCAAACCUUUCUAUCUAGGUCUAAUCUUGACCUUUCUCACAAUUCAUCAUCUCAAUGAGUCAACAUACUAAAAUCCAAGUGUCUAGACUUAGAAAUCCUAAUCUUUCUAAACAUAAACACUCCACUUAAUCAUCUAACUAGACUCUAGUCUUCUCUCAGAUACCUAGACUAUUCCUAGAUAGUCUGACCAUACCUCUAUGUGAGGUUACACAACUUUCUUCUCUAGAAAACUUAAGACUAUAAUCUAUAUUCUAAUUUCAAAUACUUAUAACCUGUUGCUCUGAUACCAACUGUGACAGCCCGAGAAUCCGGGGGUCUGGAUUCUGACGUCACCACAUAAAACCCAUUUUUAAACACUUUUGAAAAUCCGGGGGUCUGGAUUCUGACGUCACCACAUAAAACCCAUUUUUAAAAACACUUUAAAAACCUGUAAUAUUUUUAUUAAUAGAAGAUCCAAUAGAAUUUAAAACUUGAAAACAUUAAAUAAAGGAUUUGAAUGAGAACAUAAAUCAAAUGAAUUUCAAAACCUGACUUUUAAAUUUGAAAAUCAUCAUAAAAGAAUUUCCAGAGAACAUUUAAACUUCAAUAAGUGUACUCGAAAGAGAACAUUUUUAACCCCCAAAACAACAGGAUCGCUUCCAGGUUACAGUAUUGAAAUUAAGAAUCCACACUAAUACUAUACAAUAUUUCUUACCAAGUCAGAUCAUCUUCGAUAAGAAGAAUCACUGUCAACUAUUCCAGCUUGCACCAAUCUCAUCAACUUUUCUGAACACUCCUCGACCACUGGAUCCUCAACUCUGUCUCCUCGCCUAGCAUUAGCCUUACUCACAAUCUCAAUCAAUCAUCUCAUCUUUAAGCCUUUCUGAAAUGGUUAGAAAGGAAUAGCAAGGGUGAGCAACAAUGCUCAGCAAGUAAUAAUAAACAAUGAUAGUUCUGAAAUGAUAUAAUAGAAGUUCACGAGUUCAAGAUAUAAGAGGAUUCAACCUGAGUUCAUGAGUUGAUGGUAUUGUAUAGAAUGAUUCACAAUACCUUGCAGCAUUUAAACUGAGAAAUUCAAUCUUUCCAAAGAAUUAUUGAAUUGGACUAUCACAUUUUAAUUAAAACCAAGGUUAGGCAGCUGAUCAGUUCCGCACUAACCCCGAGCAGGCCCCGCCAUGCUCUAUUACUGGAUCCAAGGCACUCAUUGGCCUAACAUGACCACGAAUCUGGUCCACAGGUUUAUAUAAAAACAAUAAUCCAAUUCUCUAAUUCAAUUCAAGAAGCCAAUGUAAAUCAACAGAACAUCCUCAUAAAUAUCAUCAACAACAGAAUAAUUCCAAUUCAAACUUUGAUAAUAAUCUAUUCAUAAAUCAUGAUUCAUCAUUUCAUAAAUCACAGUUCAGGAAAUCCUCAACUAUUCAGUAUCCUCCAUUAUCGGCUAAGCAACUGAAUUUAGCCUGCUAAACCAGCAUGACAAUGGCGGGUUGAAUAAUCAAGAAGAUCCCAAUUCAUUCAAAGCUCUAACUAUCACUGAGCAACACAUGCUUCAAUGACAAUCUGAACUUCGAAUUAAUUUGUAAAACGGAAAUUCUUUAGAAACUUGAAGAUUAGAAAGAAUGGGUCAGAAUACUCGCACUUUCGAACAUUGAAAAGAAAGGUAUGAAUACUUGAAACAUAUACCAAAGGAAUGGAUCUGAAUAUUUGCAAUAUAUCCGAGAGAAAGGUUUAGGAUACUUGCAACACAUAUAGAAAAGAAUGGAUCAGAAUAUGCAAUAUAUCCAAAAGCAGGGUGUAGGAUACUUGCCUUAAAUCUGACUCCAAUCUCACAUCUCUAUCUCAUCUUUCAACUUUCACAAUCUAUGCAUCUCGUAAUUUCUAGACCAUCUCUAGCUAUACUCUAUUCGCCACUUCGCUUCGCUUACUCGAUUCAUCCCUUAUUCGCUUUGCAAUACCAUUUCGACUUCCUGACGUCUUCGAGCGUACACGUCUCGUCCAAAUCCUUUACGAGAAUAAGAUAAUACUAUAGUCACUAAACAAUAUAUCGCAUAUACAUAUCACGUAUACCGAUACCCACUUAUAUACCCCUUUAAACUUAUCAGAUACCACGUAACACAUAAGCAUGCUUUGACUCUAACAUAUAGUCAAUCAUAUUCCACAUAACAUAUCACCAAUCAAUUAUC